CACCUUGGCUGCUUUUGACCAGUGUUGGUGCUUCCUCUCACUUGCCUGCUGCUGUGUGACAGGAGGUUUUCUCUGUCUUGACUCUUCUAAAUUCUGCCACUCAGGAUUGAAGGGACGUGGACAGGUCCUUCAGCCCUGCUGUGAUUUGCGAUGCCCAAAGGACCAGCCCUUUGUUCAGCUUCCUGGAAGAUGUUCUCCAUCCACCCGCACUUUCCUGUCCACCUGCUGAGAUCUCUCAUCACACAAAUGAAGCGUUGCCAGCUUCCUUCUUCCAGGCUGUUGCUGCUCAAUGAGGCGUUGUAUGCGAAACUUCUUCCUCAUCCAGUAGUUGCAACAAAAUUCUGUGAGUUUGAUUCCACCUGCAGCUCUCCUGGUUAACGCUGUCGCUUUAUGGAUUCUGGUCGCCAGGCGGUGUGGGAGGAAAGCUUGGUGCUGUCUGGAGGUGCUGGGAUUUGUGCACAGUUCACUGUGCGGUGAACCACUGAACUGCGGAUGGCAGCUUCUUAGCAAAGUACCUUCUGGGCUGCUGCUGUCUACCCAGACUGGUCAUUAGAUCUCCUUGAGAUUGCUUGUAGCUCUCUCUAGUCAUGUUUUCUGUUCCCCCCUCCAUAUAUAUAUAGCAGUAUCAUCUGUGGUGCAAAUAUAUGUUAUAUGACUAGUGAUGCUUGAGGAAUGAAAUCUUUGCAAGUCCCUACAUGAGAUGAUCUGAUCCACACCUCAGAGUAAUGUGCAGACUGAAUUUAGCAACCCACCAGGUUUUGCACUUUCUCCAAAUGUUGGAACGCCGUUCUCUGCAAUCUAAGCUAAAUAAUAUCAAACAUGCAUUUUAAUCCACGUUUUGAGAGGCAACACUCAUUAUGUAUCUUAAGAAUAGGUGCACAUUUAAAUACACAAUAAAAUACGGAUUUAGAUAGCAUUGUGAGAAGUUUUUUAAAGGAGUAGCUGAAUAAUAAAGGUAAAGGGAC
rnacentral:lncRNA from 1 species